GAGACCUCUCCUUUUGGAGUUUCACAGUAAGCCCAGGACAAGGGGCUGAACAGAAUUCUCCUGGUCUCAUUUGUACAGGCUUGAGAUGUUGCAACCCAGAUCACUGAUUAAGAAUGCAAGAACUCUUCCACUGGAUCCAAGUUCACUAGGGUUACAAGGUAGAUAAGACUAGAGAAAUGGAAAGAUUUUGGUCCAGCUUCUUUGCUCAAGGAAUUACCAAAGAAUAGUGC